GAGCCUCCAUGACGAAACACUGCCU
rnacentral:piRNA from 1 species